UUGUGAGGUUUACCUUGAGAGUAAUUCUUGAACCGAACCAAACAUCCCCAGAGAUUUUCAAGCUAUCAAGCGCAACAAUACUAGGGAUUGAUUUAAAUCGGUCAAGGAAACUGUCAACCUACAGUUUUGUCCAAGAUCAAUCAAGGGGUUUGUUGAAUUAUCUCUAGCUGGGUUACGGGUUACAAACAUGGAAAAGAUUCAAAUAUACCAGGAUGAGGAACAGAUCGGAUGUAUUUUUUACUGCAAGGAACCUUGAGCGAGGAACAGUAACACCAAUGGCCUUUUCAAAGCACUAGAUAGCUGAACCAGCUUCCUUUUCAAGUUGCAAGACUUUCACACCAUCAACUUCCUGUUUGGAAUGAUUUCCAUCUUUAGUGCUUCAGCUUUUACCAGCCUCUUGAUGGCCUUCAAGUUCACCCGCCUAUAUCCAAAAGCUGUUAGCAAGGUCUUUUCUCCUGAACUAGCAGUAUGUAAUUAAGCGCCGGCAACAAAGUUAAGAUUAAAUAAGUAUACCUUAACCCUUCAUAACAUAUGAGAGAACCACCUUUAACAUCAGCCGAUGUUUUUGGAGUAACCUGGCAUAAAUACUUGAGAUGUUGUACUCAUAUUUGGAUACCAAUAUCGACUGUAGCGCCCAAGUUCUCUGAACUCGCUAUGAAGACAUAUUCCUUGCCCUGA
rnacentral:sRNA from 1 species